rnacentral:rRNA from 1 species
CCUACGGGAGGCAGCAGUGGGGGAUAUUGCACAAUGGGGGGAACCCUGAUGCAGCGACGCCGCGUGGGUGAAGGAGCGUUUCGGCGCGUAAAGCCCUAUCGGCAGGGAAGAAGAUGACGGGAACUGACCAAGAAGCCACGGCUAACUACGUGCCAGCAGCCGCGGUAAUACGUAGGGGGCAAGCGUUAUCCGGAUUUACUGGGUGUAAAGGGUGUGUAGGCGUUGUAGCAAGGUAGAAGUGAAAUACCUAGAGCUUAACUCAGGUGCUGCUUCUAAAACUGCUAUACUUGAGUGCAGUAGAGGAAAGUUGAAUUCCUAGUGUAGCGGUGGAAUGCGUAGAUAUUAGGAGGAACAUCAGUGGCGAAGGCGACUUUCUGGACUGUAACUGACGCUGAGGCACGAAAGUGUGGGGAGCAAACAGGAUUAGAUACCCGAGUAGUC